CUCUGUGUGUAGCCAGGCCUGUGAUGCAUGUUGAGGCGAGGUUAUAGGUUAUGGCUUUAAACUCCUCUCCCCAGGCCUGUGAUGCAUGUUGAGGCGAGGUUAUAGGUUAUGGCUUUAAACUCCUCUCCCCAGGCCUGUGAUGCAUGUUGAGGCUAGGUUAUAGGUUAUAGCUUUAAACUCCUCUCCCCAGGCCUGUGAUGGCAGUGAUAGAUGUUGAGGCUAGGUUAUAGCGUUAAUCUCCUCUCCCCUCCCCAGGCCUGUGAUGGCAGUGAUAGAUGUUGAGGCUAGGUUAUAGCGUUAAUCUCCUCUCCCCUCCCCAGGCCUGUGAUGGCAGUGAUAGAUGUUGAGGCUAGGUUAUAGGUUAUAGCUUUAAACUCCUCUCCCCAGGCCUGUGAUGGCAGUGAUAGAUGUUGAGGCUAGGUUAUAGGUUAUAGCGUUAAUCUCCUCUCCCCAGGCCUGUGAUGGCAGUGAUAGAUGUUGAGGCUAGGUUAUAGGUUAUAGCUUUAAACUCCUCUCCCCUCCCCAGGCCUGUGAUGGCAGUGAUAGAUGUUGAGGCUAGGUUAUAGGUUAUAGCGUUAAUCUCCUCUCCUCUCCCCAGGCCUGUGAUGGCAGUGAUAGAUGUUGAGGCUAGGUUAUAGGUUAUGGCUUUAAACUCCUCUCCCCAGGCCUGUGAUGGCAGUGAUAGAUGUUGAGGCUAGGUUAUAGGUUAUGGCUUUAAACUCCUCUCCCCAGGCCUGUGAUGGCAGUGAUAGAUGUUGAGGCUAGGUUAUAGGUUAUAGCUUUAAACUCCUCUCCCCAGGCCUGUGAUGGCAGUGAUAGAUGUUGAGGCUAGGUUAUAGGUUAUAGCUUUAAACUCCUCUCCCCAGGCCUGUGAUGGCAGUGAUAGAUGUUGAGGCUAGGUUAUAGGUUAUAGCUUUAAACUCCUCUCCCCAGGCCUGUGAUGGCAGUGAUAGAUGUUGAGGCUAGGUUAUAGCGUUAAUCUCCUC